rnacentral:rRNA from 1 species
GACGAACGCUAGCGGCGUGCUUAACACAUGCAAGUCGAACGGAAAGGCCCUGCUUUUGUGGGGUGCUCGAGUGGCGAACGGGUGAGUAACACGUGAGUAACCUGCCCUUGACUUUGGGAUAACUUCAGGAAACUGGGGCUAAUACCGGAUAGGAGCUCCUGCUGCAUGGUGGGGGUUGGAAAGUUUCGGCGGUUGGGGAUGGACUCGCGGCUUAUCAGCUUGUUGGUGGGGUAGUGGCUUACCAAGGCUUUGACGGGUAGCCGGCCUGAGAGGGUGACCGGCCACAUUGGGACUGAGAUACGGCCCAGACUCCUACGGGAGGCAGCAGUGGGGAAUAUUGCACAAUGGGCGGAAGCCUGAUGCAGUAACGCCGCGUGCGGGAUGACGGCCUUCGGGUUGUAAACCGCUUUCGCCUGUGACGAAGCGUGAGUGACGGUAAUGGGUAAAGAAGCACCGGCUAACUACGUGCCAGCAGCCGCGGUGAUACGUAGGGUGCGAGCGUUGUCCGGAUUUAUUGGGCGUAAAGGGCUCGUAGGUGGUUGAUCGCGUCGGAAGUGUAAUCUUGGGGCUUAACCCUGAGCGUGCUUUCGAUACGGGUUGACUUGAGGAAGGUAGGGGAGAAUGGAAUUCCUGGUGGAGCGGUGGAAUGCGCAGAUAUCAGGAGGAACACCAGUGGCGAAGGCGGUUCUCUGGGCCUUUCCUGACGCUGAGGAGCGAAAGCGUGGGGAGCGAACAGGCUUAGAUACCCUGGUAGUCCACGCUGUAAACGGUGGGUACUAGGUGUGGGGUCCAUUCCACGGGUUCCGUGCCGUAGCUAACGCUUUAAGUACCCCGCCUGGGGAGUACGGCCGCAAGGCUAAAACUCAAAGGAAUUGACGGGGCCCCGCACAAGCGGCGGAGCAUGCGGAUUAAUUCGAUGCAACGCGUAGAACCUUACCUGGGUUUGACAUGGAUCGGGAGUGCUCAGAGAUGGGUGUGCCUCUUUUGGGGUCGGUUCACAGGUGGUGCAUGGCUGUCGUCAGCUCGUGUCGUGAGAUGUUGGGUUAAGUCCCGCAACGAGCGCAACCCUUGUUCACUGUUGCCAGCACGUUAUGGUGGGGACUCAGUGGAGACCGCCGGGGUCAACUCGGAGGAAGGUGGGGAUGACGUCAAGUCAUCAUGCCCCUUAUGUCCAGGGCUUCACGCAUGCUACAAUGGCUGGUACAGAGAGUGGCGAGCCUGUGAGGGUGAGCGAAUCUCGGAAAGCCGGUCUCAGUUCGGAUUGGGGUCUGCAACUCGACCUCAUGAAGUCGGAGUCGCUAGUAAUCGCAGAUCAGCAACGCUGCGGUGAAUACGUUCCCGGG